rnacentral:rRNA from 1 species
UACAGAGGUGGCAAGCGUUGUCCGGAAUCACUGGGCGUAAAGGGCGCGUAGGUGGCCCGUUAAGUGGCUGGUGAAAUCCCGGGGCUCAACUCCGGGGCUGCCGGUCAGACUGGCGAGCUAGAGCACGGUAGGGGCAGAUGGAAUUCCCGGUGUAGCGGUGGAAUGCGUAGAGAUCGGGAAGAAUACCAGUGGCGAAGGCGUUCUGCUGGGCCGUUGCUGACACUGAGGCGCGACAGCGUGGGGAGCAAACAGG